GAUGAACGCUGGCGGCGUGCUUAACACAUGCAAGUCGAACGGGAAUUAUUUUAUUGAAACUUCGGUCGAUUUAAUUUAAUUCUAGUGGCGGACGGGUGAGUAACGCGUGGGUAACCUGCCUUAUACAGGGGGAUAACAGUCAGAAAUGGCUGCUAAUACCGCAUAAGCGCACAGAGCUGCAUGGCUCAGUGUGAAAAACUCCGGUGGUAUAGGAUGGACCCGCGUUGGAUUAGCUGGUUGGUGGGGUAACGGCCCACCAAGGCGACGAUCCAUAGCCGGCCUGAGAGGGUGAACGGCCACAUUGGGACUGAGACACGGCCCAGACUCCUACGGGAGGCAGCAGUGGGGAAUAUUGCACAAUGGGGGAAACCCUGAUGCAGCGACGCCGCGUGAAGGAAGAAGUAUCUCGGUAUGUAAACUUCUAUCAGCAGGGAAGAUAGUGACGGUACCUGACGAAGAAGCCCCGGCUAACUACGUG
rnacentral:rRNA from 1 species